ACAUCGCCUUUUGUCCCCAAAAAAUAAAAGGUCCCGCCUGCCCUGUGACUAUAAGUUUAACGGCCGCGGUAUUUUGACCGUGCAAAGGUAGCGCAAUCACUUGUCUUUUAAAUGAAGACCCGUAUGAAUGGCAUAACGAGGGCCUAACUGUCUCCUUUUUCCAGUCAAUGAAAUUGAUCUUCCCGUGCAGAAGCGGGAAUACUUACAUAAGACGAGAAGACCCUAUGGAGCUUUAGACCCCAGAAUAGACUAUGUUAAGCACCCAUAUAUAAAAAACAAAACUAAAUAGCCCCUAUUCUAUGUCUUUGGUUGGGGCGACCGUGGGGUAACAAAAAACCCCCAUAUGGAAUGAGAGCAUCUCACUCCCACAACCCAGAGCUACAACUCAAAGUACCAGAACUUCUGACCAAUAAGAUCCGGCACUAGCCGAUCAAUGGACCUAGUUACCCUAGGGAUAACAGCGCAAUCCUCUUUUAGAGCCCAUAUCGACAAGAGGGUUUACGACCUCGAUGUUGGAUCAGGACAUCCUAAUGGU
rnacentral:rRNA from 1 species